rnacentral:rRNA from 1 species
AACCUCCGCAAUGUGAGAAAUCGCGACGGGGGGAUCCCAAGUGCCAUUCUUAACGGGAUGGCUUUUCAUUAGUGUAAAGAGCUUUUGGAAUAAGGGCUGGGCAAGACCGGUGCCAGCCGCCGCGGUAACACCGGCAGCUCUAGUGGUAGCAGUUUUUAUUGGGCCUAAAGCGUCCGUAGCCGGUUUAAUAAGUCUCUGGUGAAAUCCUGUAGCUUAACUGUGGGAAUUGCUGGAGAUACUAUUAGACUUGAGACCGGGAGAGGUUAGAGGUACUCCCAGGGUAGAGGUGAAAUUCUGUAAUCCUGGGAGGACCGCCUGUUGCGAAGGCGUCUAACUGGAACGGUUCUGACGGUGAGGGACGAAAGUUAGGGGCGCGAACCGGAUUAGAUACCCGGGUAGUCCUAACUGUAAACGAUGCGGACUUGGUGUCGGGGUGGCUUUGAGCUGCUCCAGUGCCGAAGGGAAGCUGUUAAGUCCGCCGCCUGGGAAGUACGGUCGCAAGACUGAAACUUAAAGGAAGU